rnacentral:rRNA from 1 species
CGRGCUCUCCCAAAUUGAUUUUAUGCUUGCAUAAAUGAUUUUUGGAUUCGGAGCGAGUGGCGAACUGGUGAGUAACACGUGGGUAACCUGCCCCGAAGCGGGGGAUAACAUUUGGAAACAAGUGCUAAUACCGCAUAAUUAGUUGGAACCGCAUGGUUCCAMUUGGAAAGAUGGCUCUGCUAUCACUUUGGGAUGGACCCGCGCCGUAUUAGUUAGUUGGUGAGAUAAAAGCCCACCAAGACGAUGAUACGUAGCCGACCUGAGAGGGUAAUCGGCCACAUUGGGACUGAGACAGGCCCAGACUCCUACGGGAGGCAGCARUAGGGAAUCUUCCACAAUGGACGAAAGUCUGAUGGAGCAAMGCCGCGUGAGUGAUGAAGGUUUUCCGGAUCGUAAAACUCUGUUGUUAAAGAAGAACAAGUGUUAGAGUAACUGUUMACAAUUUGACGGUAUUUAACCAGAAAGCCACGGCUAACUACGUGCCAACAGCCGCGGUAAUACGUAGGUGGGCAAAAGUUGUCCGGAUUUNUUGGGGCGU